UGCAAGCCAACCGAGCUCCAACCAAUCGUCAGGUCCACCAUGUCUCUCACGGUCUAGUUCGUACUUCGUUCUCGCCAACGCGAUGGCGACGCCGGCCCGCCGGGCGUCGGCGCAGCCGCAGCCGCUGACGGUGGACUUCGAGGCGCUGAGCUACAUCAGCAGGCUCGUGGAGGCGUUCCAGGCGUUCGACUCGGACAGCGACGGCCUCGUCACGGCCCCCGAGCUCCGGGGCCUCCUGGCCUCCCUGGGCCUGGACAAGUCGGAGGCCGAGGCGCGGGACAUGCUGGCGCGCGCCGACGCCGACCGUGACGGCCGGCUCUGCGUGGUACAUUUGUCAUGGUUGCUCAACUGCAUUUGCCAUCUCGGGUCAAGUGUCAGAUGCCAUUUUAGACGUGAUGAACGCCGGCGAGCUCGGCCUGGGCGCGCUCGGCGCGCUGCUGCAGGCCGCCGUCCCGGCGCUGGAGUCCUUCGCGGGCCCCGACGAGCUCGCCACGGUGCUGGGGCUCAUGGGCACCGCCAGCGCCGAGGACUGCGCGGAGAUCAUCGCGUGCAUGGACGGGGACGGGGACGGCGACGGCGCCAUCAGCGUCGAGGAGUUCAAGCUCAUGGCUGACCUGCUCUAGGCUCGAGCUACAUACGUACCAUUGAGCUAGCUAGAGGGCGUGCAUAUAUGCAGUUAUGUAUUGUGAUAUCGAUUAAUAAGCGUGAGCACGUCAGGAGAGUUGUGGACUACUUCUGCAUGGAUACAUGCAAGUUUGUCUUCUCUAAUAAAUUACAGAUUCCUCUCGCAGAGUGUCUGUCUGUCCACAAGUGGCACGAUCGAUUUGAGGCUUUACUAGUUACUACUAGAUCAUCGAAGGUGUAAAUUAACAAGACCUGAGAAGUUUUGGAAAAGGAUUGCAGAAGCAAAGGUAGUAGGCAUUAUCCUGUGGUUACAUUUAACUAAAUAUCAAAUUGAGAGGC
rnacentral:rRNA from 1 species